rnacentral:rRNA from 1 species
GGCGAGUUACGAUCCCGUGCGAGGUUAAGCUGAAGAGGCGGAGCCGCAGCGAAAGCGAGUCUGAAUAGGGCGUUUAGUACGUGGUCGUAGACCCGAAACCAGGUGAUCUACCCAUGUCCAGGGUGAAGUUCAGGUAACACUGAAUGGAGGCCCGAACCCACGCACGUUGAAAAGUGCGGGGAUGAGGUGUGGGUAGCGGAGAAAUUCCAAUCGAACCUGGAGAUAGCUGGUUCUCCCCGAAAUAGCUUUAGGGCUAGCCUUAAGUGUAAGAGUCUUGGAGGUAGAGCACUGAUUGGACUAGGGGUCCUCAUCGGAUUACCGAAUUCAGUCAAACUCCGAAUGCCAAUGACUUAUCCUUAGGAGUCAGACUGCGAGUGAUAAGAUCCGUAGUCAAAAGGGAAACAGCCCAGACCGCCAGCUAAGGUCCCAAAGUGUGUAUUAAGUGGAAAAGGAUGUGGAGUUGCUUAGACAACUAGGAUGUUGGCUUAGAAGCAGCCACCAUUUAAAGAGUGCGUAAUAGCUCACUAGUCGAGUGACUCUGCGCCGAAAAUGUACCGGGGCUAAAUACACCACCGAAGCUGCGGAUUGAUACCAAUGGUAUCAGUGGUAGGGGAGCGUUCUAAGGACAGUGAAGUCAGACCGGAAGGACUGGUGGAGUGCUUAGAAGUGAGAAUGCCGGUAUGAGUAGCGAAAGACGGGUGAGAAUCCCGUCCACCGAAUGCCUAAGGUUUCCUGAGGAAGGCUCGUCCGCUCAGGGUUAGUCAGGACCUAAGCCGAGGCCGACAGGCGUAGGCGAUGGACAACAGGUUGAUAUUCCUGUACCACCUCUUUAUCGUUUGAGCAAUGGAGGGACGCAGAAGGAUAGAAGAAGCGUGCGAUUGGUUGUGCACGUCCAAGCAGUUAGGCUGAUAAGUAGGCAAAUCCGCUUAUCGUGAAGGCUGAGCUGUGAUGGGGAAGCUCCUUAUGGAGCGAAGUCUUUGAUUCCCCGCUGCCAAGAAAAGCUUCUAGCGAGAUAAAAGGUGCCUGUACCGCAAACCGACACAGGUAGGCGAGGAGAGAAUCCUAAGGUGUGCGAGAGAACUCUGGUUAAGGAACUCGGCAAAAUGACCCCGUAACUUCGGGAGAAGGGGUGCUUUCUUAACGGAAAGCCGCAGUGAAUAGGCCCAAGCGACUGUUUAGCAAAAACACAGCUCUCUGCGAAGCCGUAAGGCGAAGUAUAGGGGGUGACACCUGCCCGGUGCUGGAAGGUUAAGGAGAGGGGUUAGCGUAAGCGAAGCUCUGAACUGAAGCCCCAGUAAACGGCGGCCGUAACUAUAACGGUCCUAAGGUAGCGAAAUUCCUUGUCGGGUAAGUUCCGACCCGCACGAAAGGUGUAACGAUUUGGGCACUGUCUCAACCAGAGACUCGGUGAAAUUAUAGUACCUGUGAAGAUGCAGGUUACCCGCGACAGGACGGAAAGACCCCGUGGAGCUUUACUGUAGCCUGAUAUUGAAUUUUGGUACAGUUUGUACAGGAUAGGCGGGAGCCUUUGAAACCGGAGCGCUAGCUUCGGUGGAGGCGCUGGUGGGAUACCGCCCUGACUGUAUUGAAAUUCUAACCUACGGGUCUUAUCGACCCGGGAGACAGUGUCAGGUGGGCAGUUUGACUGGGGCGGUCGCCUCCUAAAGUGUAACGGAGGCGCCCAAAGGUUCCCUCAGAAUGGUUGGAAAUCAUUCGUAGAGUGCAAAGGCAUAAGGGAGCUUGACUGCGAGACCUACAAGUCGAGCAGGGACGAAAGUCGGGCUUAGUGAUCCGGUGGUUCCGCAUGGAAGGGCCAUCGCUCAACGGAUAAAAGCUACCCCGGGGAUAACAGGCUUAUCUCCCCCAAGAGUCCACAUCGACGGGGAGGUUUGGCACCUCGAUGUCGGCUCAUCGCAUCCUGGGGCUGUAGUCGGUCCCAAGGGUUGGGCUGUUCGCCCAUUAAAGCGGUACGCGAGCUGGGUUCAGAACGUCGUGAGACAGUUCGGUCCCUAUCCGUCGUGGGCGUAGGAAAUUUGAGAGGAGCUGUCCUUAGUACGAGAGGACCGGGAUGGACGCACCGCUGGUGUACCAGUUGUUCUGCCAAGGGCAUAGCUGGGUAGCUAUGUGCGGAAGGGAUAAGUGCUGAAAGCAUCUAAGCAUGAAGCCCCCCUCAAGAUGAGAUUUCCCAUAGCGUAAGCUAGUAAGAUCCCUGAAAGAUGAUCAGGUUGAUAGGUUCGAGGUGGAAGCAUGGUGACAUGUGGAGCUGACGAAUACUAAUAGAUCG